rfam:Myotis davidii contig50090, whole genome shotgun sequence.
AGUGGUUCUUGGGUGACACUGCCCCGAAUCAGGCUCCCUCCUUUCUGGUUCCAGGAUGCAUCAUCCAAGAACCGCU